rnacentral:tRNA from 1 species
GGUAAAAUGGCUGAUUUAGGCGAUAAAUUGUAAAUUUAUUUAUGGGUUCAAGCCCUUUUACCA